rnacentral:misc_RNA from 1 species
CGACUUUGUGUCGAUCUUCUUGUUGCUUCGCCUUCUUUUGCGCUGCGGUGCUCACACACCACGCUAACACCACCACCAUCACACACGCACACAUCCAGGAACUCGUCCGCAGACGUAUCCAGCUUGACACGCCUCACUCUCCUGCGUCGCCAAGCCCUUUUAUUCAACACCCCUCCAUUCAUCCCUUUUUUCUUUCACUGCCAGCCAUGUCGUCCAGUCCGCAGGAGUACAUUGAUCUCCAGACCCGCAUUUUGAGGGUGAAAACGAUCUUCGCCGAGGAGCUCGCCAGUGCCUUGAAUCUGAUCCAGGUGGAGUGCCCCAUGCUCGCCUGCGUCGGCGAUGGCACACAGGACAACCUCUCGGGUGUGGAGAAAGCAGUGCAGGUGCACGUGAAAGAGAUCCCGGGGGCGAAUUACGAGGUAGUGCACUCGCUCGCCAAGUGGAAGCGCAUGACCCUCGGCAAUCACAGGUUCCCCGUUGGCAGGGGCAUCUUUACCAACAUGCGCGCCCUGCGUGUCGAAGAAACCCUGGAUAACAUCCACUCCGUCUACGUCGACCAGUGGGACUGGGAGCGCGUCAUAGCGCCGGCGGACCGCUGCCUCGAGUACCUGCAGGCCACUGUUCGCUCUCUCUACGAGGUGCUGCGCGAGACGGAGAGUCGCUUGUGCACCGAGUUCCCGGACAUUGCCCCGAUUCUGCCGGAUUCGAUCAAGUUCGUGCACACCGAGCAGCUGCUGAAACGCUAUCCGGAGCUGGACCCCAAGUCGCGCGAGCGUGAAGCCGUCAAGAAGCUCGGUGCGGUUUUCCUGAUCGGCAUCGGCUGCAAGCUGAGCCACGGCGACCACCACGACGUGCGUGCUCCGGACUACGAUGACUGGUCGUCGCCGGUGUCCGUCGACUCCUCCAAGAUCGGCUUUCCGACUGCCGACGACGAGAAGCCCUCGGUGAAUACCAUCAUGUCCUUGCAGGGCCUUAACGGCGACAUCCUGGUGUACAACCCGGUUCUCGAUGAUGUGCUCGAACUGAGCAGCAUGGGCAUCCGUGUUGACCAGGAGGCACUGCGCCGCCAGCUGGAGAUCACCGGCACCAGCGACCGCCUCCAGUGCAGGUGGCACCAGUGCGUGCUGAACGGAGACCUGCCUCAAACCAUCGGCGGCGGUAUCGGCCAGAGUCGCACAGUCAUGUUCAUGCUCCGAAAGAGGCACAUCGGCGAGGUACAGUGCAGCGUGUGGCCCCACGAGGUCACGGCGCAGUACUCUUUAUUGUAAAAAGACGGGGGAGGGUGGGUGGGAACGCCUCUGCAACACGCGUGGCACCCUCCCCCUCCCACAAAAUGCCAGGGAGAAGCUCUCUGCAGAGGCGGGAGAUCAUCAACAGGGAAGCCGUUUUGCCAGUUGCACAUACAGAGCACCCACGAACGCACGCAGCCGCAUGAAAAGCCUACGGACGCACGCGUGCAUGAGUGCGCUUGCGUGUGUGUCGGCGUCUAGGCACUGCUUUAUAGUGCCUUUUCUCUUUUUGAAAUACUCGUUGCCUCGUCCAUAUCACAUUGGUUGUGUAUAUGUCUGCUGGUGUUGCAGUGCGGUCAAGUGUCUGGCGGCGCGACGAGCCGUGCUUGUAUCACCCUAUCGACGCCAUUUUCCACUCUCCUCGUUCUUUAGCAGUCUUUGCAGGAUAUAUCGUUGCACGCAUGCACCUGUCUUUGGCGCGUUUGGAUGAUGUCGAUGGGUGCGCGUGUCUUUGUGAGUGCGCGUGUCGUUCUCUUCGCUCGUUUCCGUGUGCAGUGCGGUUGGCGGUCGCUCACCUCCGCCUCCACUGAAUCCCUCCUUCCACGACACGCCUCCCUGCUCACCAUGUGCCUUUCGUGUGUAGCUUGCCGUUUAGAGCCACCAAACGCCGCACAUAUGCUUGAGCAAGCUAGCAAGCAGCAGGUCAUCUCCCGCUGCGUGCGCAUAUGCGGGUCUGGAGGGGGAAAGUGCAGAGCGGAGCGACGCCUAGGACACCUGUACCGUCUUUUUUUCUUUUCCUCGUCGUCCAGUGUGGAGUGUGCAGAGGCACUCGGGUGCAGGCGCGCGCAUCGCGGGUGUGUUUGAGUUGGUGAUAAGAGCGAGGGAGCGAACGCCAUCAUUCGUGGCACCCUGCUCUCCCCCCUCCUUCCACGUCCACGCUAACGUCGGCGGUGUCGACCUCGCUCCAGCGCCAGAGUAUUGUGUCGCGGGCAUCUUUCGUAAGGUGAUGCCUCACGGGGAACGCGUGCGUUGCCAUCAAACACCUGCUGGGGCGCGCGCGCUUCUGGCGUGGACGACUACCACAAGAGAGAUAAUGCUCUCCUUUAGGUUGCUCCUGUUGAGGUCAAGCAGCAGGAGACAAGCAUGCACACUCUCACCUACAUAUACACGUGCACCCACGCACACACCAUAAGCAGGAGCGCGAAAAGCGCCAAGACGUGCACGCAUGCCGAGCAAAGGGGGCGCACCGGCACACGCCAAGUGAAGCGGGCAAUACGACAGAAGAGGAGGGAAAGGACGGGCAGAGCCCUUCCUUGCCAGGACCUUUGCGUGUUUCCUUCCUUGUGUGUUCGGUGGUGGUGUCCAUCAUGGCAAGAGGGGGUAAGUGGACGCACACACACACACACACACCAGAGUGUUGUGCCAGCAGGGUCCAGUGCACCCUCCCCCCCCUCUGCGCGGGAGGGAGCCGAUCAGACUCCACCCCUCCCUCCUCUAUCCCCCUGCCAAAAAUGCCGAACCGCUUCUGGUGGCGGCAGACUCAAGCGCCUACGACGUAGCGAAGCUAGAGCGAUGCAUGGCUGCUGAUGUCUGUGGACAGGUCCUGGGCGGCGCUGCGUCGGGGCGACCUGCGACCGUGAGCUCGGUUGUGCCAUCCAUGUGACGGGCGGCGUGCCAGCGUGACUCGAGCGCAUCACAGCCGACCCUCACACUGCCCACUGGCAUGUGUGCGUGUGUGUGUGGGUGUGGGUGUGUGGGGCCUGCACCACCGCGAGGGGGACGCACCAGUCGCCAACCGGCACAAUGCGGGCGGCUGCGAGGCGGGUGUGGGUAGCGUUUGGUGCGCGGACCCUGCUCUCAGAUGAUGGUGUCGGCGCGUUGCCGUGCUGGCUUGUGUGCGCGGCUGCUCCGCACGACGGGAGGUGGGCCUGUGACGGGCCGGGGGCAGAGCGGAGCGGAGCGCAUGCUGCACGGCAGAGAAAUGGGCACGUGGACGAACGAAAGGGGUGGGGGAAGAUGUGCUGCGUGAGUCGCGGAGCGAAGGAAAAUAUGUUGGCACGUGCACAUACCCACACGUACAUGCACGACGAAAAAAGCUUGUAAGUAGCGGAGACACCCGUGGCCUUCUAACGAACCUCCUCCUUUGUCCCUCCUGGACCAGAUUCGCUCGCAUCCACUUCCCAUACCUUCGGCCGUAAGCUCCCUUCAUGUGUAUCAUCUACCCGUUUCUCUCACCCCUUUGGCCUUGUGCCCUUGUUGACUGCACACAGGUGGGCGUGUGUGUGUGUGUGCGUGCUCCCAAGCAGAGCUGUGCACACAUCUCUGUGCGGGCUUUGGUUCAUGUCUCGCUUUACCUCACUCGUUGACGUUGGUUUAUGUGUUCUAUUUUCCGUGCGUUUCGUUUCACGUACUUCCAACUACGCAUCACUUGUGCGUGCAUGCAUGAUGCGGGUGUGGGGGGUGCUCCCCGUGCGUGAGUCGCCUGGCUCUGCGUAUGUGCCCGUGUGCUUGUGUGUGCGUUGGUUUCCCCGUAACGAUCAUCUCCGCUCCGCACCUACGCAAGCGGCAAAGCACGAAAAAAAAAAGGGAAUAGUAGGCGGUGCAGCGCUCUAUCCGCGAAGUACUCGGUGGUGUGGCAAUGUCGCGCCCCUCUCCCGUGUCCCAUCCACCCCCCCUCCUCCUCCCCCCCUCCACUCGACAUCCGUGUUUUCUGCCCCUCCCCAGUCGACUGCUCGCAUGCAGCAGCGCUGUUUUGCGCCCCGUCUCCCUCCCCUUCGAAGAAGAUGCCGUGAAGACGGCGGUGCACGCACAUGGAGUCCCGUUCUGCAGUCAGCGAAACGGCAAGCAAGGAGGAUGGCUGGGCAGAGACCGGUGCUGAGGGAGCCGCACACGCAAAGAGAAGAGGCAAGAAGAUGGAGGAGUUGCGGUGGCGGCACAAACACAAGCCAUUCGCGAUGUGUGGAAAGGGCGUAUGAGCACCCGCGACAAGGGGAAGGGAUCACAGCCGUGUCUACGAAGGCGUUGCGGCGUUGACAAGGACACGCAUCAUGCGUAUCGCUUUUCUUCGUACUCUCGCCCUCUCUACUGCGUUCCCGCUAGUGUGCGUGUGCGUGUAUACAUCAGCCUCUUUCCCCCCUUUCUCCACACACAUACACGUACAUGAACACACAG